UACAGAGACUGCGAGCGUUAUUCGGAUUCACUGGGCGUAAAGGGUGCGCAGGCGGCCAAGUGUGUGAGGCGUGAAAGCCCGGGGCUUAACCCCGGAAUUGCACCUCAAACUACAUGGCUAGAGCAUUGGAGAGGGUAGCAGAAUUCACGGUGUAGCAGUGAAAUGCGUAGAUAUCGUGAGGAACACCAGAGGCGAAGGCGGCUACCUGGACAAUUGCUGACGCUCAGGCACGAAAGCGUGGGGAGCGAACAGG
rnacentral:rRNA from 1 species